GAUUGAUGGUGCUUGCACCUGAUUGAUUUUGGUCGCCAACGAGUGGCGGACGGGUGAGUAACACGUAGGUAACCUGCCCAGAAGCGGGGGACAACAUUUGGAAACAGAUGCUAAUACCGCAUAACAACGUUGUUCGCAUGAACAACGCUUAAAAGAUGGCUUCUCGCUAUCACUUCUGGAUGGACCUGCGGUGCAUUAGCUUGUUGGUGGGGUAACGGCCUACCAAGGCGAUGAUGCAUAGCCGAGUUGAGAGACUGAUCGGCCACAAUGGGACUGAGACACGGCCCAUACUCCUACGGGAGGCAGCAGUAGGGAAUCUUCCACAAUGGGCGCAAGCCUGAUGGAGCAACACCGCGUGAGUGAAGAAGGGUUUCGGCUCGUAAAGCUCUGUUGUUAAAGAAGAACACGUAUGAGAGUAACUGUUCAUACGUUGACGGUAUUUAACCAGAAAGUCACGGCUAACUACGUGCCAGCAGCCGCGGUAAUACGUAGGUGGCAAGCGUUAUCCGGAUUUAUUGGGCGUAAAGAGAGUGCAGGCGGUUUUCUAAGUCUGAUGUGAAAGCCUUCGGCUUAACCGGAGAAGUGCAUCGG
rnacentral:rRNA from 2 species